UACGUAUGGUGCAAGCGUUAUCCGGAUUUACUGGGUGUAAAGGGAGCGUAGGCGGACUGUCAAGUCAGCGGUAAAAUUGAGAGGCUCAACCUCUUCCCGCCGUUGAAACUGGUGGUCUUGAGUGGAUGAGAAGUACGCGGAAUGCGUGGUGUAGCGGUGAAAUGCAUAGAUAUCACGCAGAACUCCGAUUGCGAAGGCAGCGUACCGGCAUCCAACUGACGCUGAGGCACGAAAGCGUGGGGAUCAAACAGG
rnacentral:rRNA from 1 species